UGUGUAUUUUCAUCAUUCCAGGUGAACACAACUGGAUUCUUCCCUUAAUAGCCUCCAAUAUAUUCUCUGUUAUCAUAAUCACACUUCUGCUUGGAGUUUUAUAUAAAAAUCACAGAAAAGAUGCUUCAUCAAGCAACCAUCAAAUUCCCACCAAUCAGACUGCGGUUGCUGCUGCUGAUGACGAUGAUGUCUUGAACUAUGCAGCUGUGAGUUUUGCUAAAAAACCAUCCUCCAGAACAUCCAGAGCCAAGAGCCAUGAAGACGUUUACAUUCAUGUUAAAAUAAAAUAGAAAUUAUAUUUUACUGAAGCGUUCUUCAGUUUUUCUCAGAAUUUUUUCUUGAAAUAGUGCAGAAGAUUUCUAAACUGUAAAAAAAAAAAAUAUUAUUGUUUUUGAUAUUGAAAGUUUUUAAUUAAGUUUUUUUUUUUUUUUUUUUUUUUAUGCACCACUGUUUUUGUGCUGCUCCGGGUGUGUGUUCAUGUCUGUGUGUUCACUUUGGAUGGGUUAAAUGUAGAGAACGAAUUCUGAAUAUGGGUCACCGCACUUAGCUGCAUUUCACGUCACUUAACUUCUAAAAUGUAAAAGAAAAAAAAUAAUUAUUGUUUUUGAUAUUGAAGGUUUUUAAAUAAGCUUUUGUUUUCUUGGAUCACAGUUUUGGUCCAAUUUUAAGUUAUUUCAGAUUAAUAAAACAUCAUCUUUUCCAGAAAUAUUAAGAGCCUGUAAGUGAAAGAGAGCUGAAUAUAAAGAUUCCAACAUUACUGAUGAGAUGUGGCUGUUUAACCUGAAAUUAAAUUUCAGACACUGAACAUUAAAUCAGAUUAAAAAUGUAUGAUGAGACCGAUGAUGUGCAAGAAGUGCUUUAUUUUAAAUGUUUUCAGACUAUUUACAUUAACAAAUUUCACAAAUACCACAGUGUAUUUUUUGUGUUCCUAUUUAAGCUAAUUUUAGCAACAUGUCCAUUGCCACAGAUGUCUCUAAAUGACAUCACUGGUUGUAUUAAAAUUUCUGUUAAGUAGAGAAUUAAUAAACACAUC